AUGAAUUUCUUUAUUACAUUGACUCACUCUCUUCGGCAUCUCACCAGAAACAACAUCCGCAGAAAUUGAAUGAAAGCUCUUGUUCUCUUAUAACUCUAAUUUUUUGGUUGCAGAGACAGGGUAUGGCUUCUCCUCCAAAUUCUUGGAGAACACUUCAUCUGUUACCUCUUCUUUAGGGGUACCGAGUAUCCUUACUCGAGCGCAAUGACAAUGAAUCUACAGGUGACAGAUUUGGUGCUGGUUAUAAGAUGAAGUGAAAUUUCAAUAUUUCAUAUACAGUGAAGCCUUCUAUUUGAUACUUGAUUACUUUUGAAGAUGAAGAGAAGAUUCCCAUUUCAAUGCUUGAUUGCUUUGUCAAUGAAGCUUUAUUGGAUUAAAGUUUCUCUAGGCUAGAUUUAAUUUUAUUACUACUCGUGUGAAGUUAUGUUAAGUAAAUGAUGGUGUAAUGCUUCUGUAAUCUACUCUUUUGAUUUAUUUGUGUAAAUGUACCAAGAAAUUACUUUUAUGUAGUUCUGAUUAUUCUUUUGAUUUAA